rnacentral:rRNA from 1 species
UACGGAGGAUGCAAGCGUUAUCCGGAAUUAUUGGGCGUAAAGCGUCCGCAGGCGGCUGUGUAAGUCUGCUGUCAAAGAGCAAAGCUCAACUUUGUAAAGGCAGUGGAAACUACACGGCUAGAGUGCGUUCGGGGCAGAGGGAAUUCCUGGUGUAGCGGUGAAAUGCGUAGAGAUCAGGAAGAACACCGGUGGCGAAGGCGGUCUGCUGGGCCGCAACUGACACUGAGGGACGAAAGCUAGGGGAGCGAAUGGG